GAUCUCUGGGACCAGACGUUUGGUGAGCUGUCGAAUAACACAUUUUCAGACUAUGGAGGAAAGCGAGUCCGGGGACAAGUCUCAUCUCUACGAGUUUGACGCCCCGUCCCACGUCGUCGACCUCGUUACGUUGCAACUGGAGAAUGCCGAAAGCGAGGA